AAGCCUCCUACUCCCUACUUUAUUUCAUUUUAUCUAAUUUUAUUUUAUCUUUAUAUUUAUCACGUGGUACCAUGGUGUGAUAUGAAAAAAUAUGAAAAUCUCUGUUAUGAAUGCCUCUGUGUUCUUGCUCCAAACAUUUGAAUUUAAAAGAAAGAAAGAAAGAAAGAAAGAAAGAAAGAAAAACGGUCAAAAUAAACACUGAUUCAAUUCUGAAUUGAUUCGAAACGGUCAACGGUUGGCUAGCUGUUCUUCGCUUGGAUUAUUUUCGCUGGUGCAGUUAAAAUGAGUAAAGUACUGGCGAUAUUGUGUCUAAAAUGAGCAGAAGGGACGUUUGGACCUGCUGCCAGCAGACUGUAACAGACAGAUGGGUUUUCACACAAACAACAGAAAACAUCAAGAGCAGUCAGCCUGGCACACACUGAAGAAGAAUCAGCAAAGGGGAGAAAGUCUGGAUAAUGAGGCACUGCUAGCAGGAGAUGAUAAUUCACUUUGUUCUGUGAGAAGACAAACUGUCCACUCCUUUUAGAGUUCAACCCCGUAGCUGCAAAGCCAUAUGGAUAUUUGGUAUACAAACUGUGAUCUGAUUGCAGUGAAGCAUAAUAACCAGCAGAUGACAGGCAAACAUCAGAAUCCUUUUUGACACCGAGGCAUUAGAACAAUGAAGCUUUGGAAGCAAAGGACAAUACCAAGUAAGCACUGACAUCCAAAUAUGCAGCACAAAUGUCAUUAUCAGUCCUCAACGAAAAAUAUGUGGUGAUACCAUGGUACAGUGAUGGCAUCAGAUGCUGUGAUACUAUCAGAGGCAUACACACACAGAAAAUGAUGCAGCAUAUGUGAUGCAACUGUCAAAA